UGGGGAAUAUUGCACAAUGGGCGCAAGCCUGAUGCAGCCAUGCCGCGUGUGUGAAGAAGGCCUUCGGGUUGUAAAGCACUUUCAGCGAGGAGGAAGGGUUCAGUGUUAAUAGCACUGUUCAUUGACGUUACUCGCAGAAGAAGCGCCGGCUAACUCCGUGCCAGCAGCCGCGGUAAUACGGAGGGUGCAAGCGUUAAUCGGAAUUACUGGGCGUAAAGCGCACGCAGGCGGUUUGUUAAGUCAGAUGUGAAAUCCCCGCGCUUAACGUGGGAACUGCAUUUGAAACUGGCAAGCUAGAGUCUUGUAGAGGGGGGUAGAAUUCCCAGGUGUAGCGGUGAAAUGCGUAGAGAUCUGGAGGAAUACCGGUGGCGAAGGCGGCCCCCCUGGACAAAGACUGACGCUCAGGUGCGA
rnacentral:rRNA from 1 species